AGCUGGUGUUGUUUAGCCUGGAGAAAAGGAGGCUCUGGGGGCCUCAUCACUCUCUGCUAUCACCUGAGAGGAGGCUGUAGCCAGAGGAGGUUCAGGCACUGCUCC